UACGUAGGGGGCAAGCGUUAUCCGGAUUUACUGGGUGUAAAGGGAGCGUAGACGGCUUUGCAAGCCAGAUGUGAAAGCCCGGGGCUCAACCCCGGGACUGCAUUUGGGACUGUGUGGCUAGAGUGUCGGAGAGGCAGGCGGAAUUCCUAGUGUAGCGGUGAAAUGCGUAGAUAUUAGGAGGAACACCAGUGGCGAAGGCGGCCUGCUGGACGAUGACUGACGUUGAGGCUCGAAAGCGUGGGGAGCAAACAGG
rnacentral:rRNA from 1 species